GAUGAACGCUGGCGGCGUGCUUAACACAUGCAAGUCGAACGGAAAGGCCCAAGCUUGCUUGGGUACUCGAGUGGCGAACGGGUGAGUAACACGUGGGUGAUCUGCCCUGCACUUCGGGAUAAGCCUGGGAAACUGGGUCUAAUACCGGAUAGGACGAUGGUUUGGAUGCCAUUGUGGAAAGUUUUUUCGGUGUGGGAUGAGCUCGCGGCCUAUCAGCUUGUUGGUGGGGUAAUGGCCUACCAAGGCGUCGACGGGUAGCCGGCCUGAGAGGGUGUACGGCCACAUUGGGACUGAGAUACGGCCCAGACUCCGACGGGAGGCAGCAGUGGGGAAUAUUGCACAAUGGGCGCAAGCCUGAUGCAGCGACGCCGCGUGGGGGAUGAAGGCCUUCGGGUUGUAAACUCCUUUCGCUAGGGACGAAGCGUUUUUGUGACGGUACCUGGAGAAGAAGCACCGGCUAACUACGUG
rnacentral:rRNA from 1 species